UUGCUGUGAUGCUUAUAUUUUUCGUCAACAGUAACCCACCUCAGUGGAUGUUGAGAUUGUAAUCCUGAGCAG